UUUGUUUUAUUUUAUUUUAUUUUUUUGUCUGAUGAUUCUACUGUAAAAUAUGCAACAGCAAAAACAGGUGGAAAAUGUUCUCUGAGCUCCUGCAUUUGAGAAGCCAUUUUCCAGCUCUUGGCAUUCAUGCUGUUAAAAGAAGAGUUCCAGCUACCACUGGCAGGGUGAUGUGUGACCUUCAUGUCUUCCUGAGCGUACCACCUGCAUAUUUCAUUAACUACACAGGUUUUGGCAUCCUGCGGAGGAACAAAUUGCCUUUUUUUUCCCAACACGGUCAGUAAAUCUCAAUGUUACCGUUAGGAACAAGAAUCAAGUUUUACCUAAAUAGUAGAGAAGUAUUAAAAGCAGUAACAAAGCAAUACCCCGGAAGUUUUUGUUUGUUUGUUUGUUUGUUUGUUUGUUUCACACAUCAGUGAAACAUCCAUAUGAUAUGAAUCUACUAAUGUGGUAGCCAGUUUUACUGAGUUAGUUGUGGAAUCCUGGGCAUACAUGCUCAGGAAUGUCACUGAUGAUGCUGCAACUACUUAAAAUCAGUGUGUUAACAACCAGGGAUCAGCAAACCAUUGACUAAUUCUUUAAUUCAACUCAUGCAGACAGCAGUUUUCCAUGGCAUUUGAGACAGGAGUUACCACUGUUGUAGGAAAUGCAGAAAAGGAAGAUGUUUGUCUUUGACCUGUUAGAUCAGUGCUCAGGUAUGUUGCAUAACUGUUUUUACAUGGCUUUGGUUCAUUGGUAGUUGUUGAUGAGAAAGCUGGUAUACUUUGAUGAUGCAUUUUGGGAUGACAGCAGGCAUUUGGAUAGUACAGUAUUGUAAUGCAUCUUCAGACUGAGAGUUAGCAGUAGAUCAUAAACUUGUUUCUUGGUUACAUCUAUGACAUGCUCUGAGUUUAGGAAGCUGGUUUAAAAUAUAUUAGCUGGGUUAUGAUAUGAAUAAUAAUAAAGCACUAAUAUUUAGCCUGUUAGCUAGCAACAGAGCUCAAGUGUUGUGCAGAAAAACUAGGAAUGGGAAAAGUCAGGGAGUCUGACUAAAAGAGGAAAAAAAUCCAAUUUUAACCCCUUUCAAAAAGACUCAGUUUACUUUUUACCUCAUGGCUGUUCAAGUGGCUGCUAACAUUUGAAAAACAAUUUCAUUCUGACUGCUUUUUAUUUUAUUUAUUUUAUUUCCCCAGAUUCAUGUUUUUCUUAAGGAAUGGCUUGGAAUAAGGGUUGUGACAUGGUCACUAUUCAGUAUUUGCUCAUGUUUCCAGCUUUCCUCUGGGGAAAGCUAUUAUACGUAAUGGAUGCUGCUUCUGAAUGAAGAUGUUCUGGGCCAAAUGCUGCUCUCAACUCUGUCAGUGGAAAUAUGAGUAUUAUAAAGCCCAUGUAAUGAGCAAUUUUACAGUGGUAUAUCUGAGUAAGACUUUGUGCUAUCGAAGUAUGCAGGCACAUUAUGGAAAACAUUAAGUUUUUUUAAUCUGUCUGUAGCUGCCUAUAUCAGCCUAUAUCUGCUAUAUAGAGCAUCCAAAGGAGGGCUACAAAAAUGGUAAAGGGUAUGAGCAACAGCUGAGGCCCCCGGUUUGUUCAGCCCAGAGCAGAGUAGCUGAGGGGAGGCCUCAUGGCAGCUACAGCUCCUCACAGGGGGUGGAGGGGCAGUGCUGAGCUCUGCUCUGUGUGACAGUGACAGGGCCCGAGGGAACGGCAUGGAGCUGUGUCAGGGGAGGGGCAGCUGAGGGUGAGGGAAAGGGUCUGCACCAGAGGGCGGUGGGUAUGGAAUGGGCUGCCCAGGGGCAGUGGGCAUGGCCCAUGCUGCCGAAGCAUUUAGACAACGCUCUCAGCCAUGGGAUUUGGGUGGUGCUGUUGGAUGAUCCUUGUGUGUCCCUUCCAACUCAGGAUAUUCUGUGAAUUCCCAGGGACUUCUGCUUUUAAUCUCCGACUUCUCCUAAUCAAUCUACAACCUGCAAUUCUUCUCUUGGUGGGAUAACCAGGUGUGCCUGUGGGCCAGAGACAGUAGCACUGCGUGGCUGGGCUUGUGUUCAGAUGGCAUAACCAUGCUGUACAUGAGCUGUAAGCGGGUCUUGUGAUUGAUCCAGCACUUUAAAUUUGCUUAGUCAUUUA
ensembl:lncRNA